rnacentral:rRNA from 1 species
AGUGAACGCUGGCGGUAGGCCUAACACAUGCAAGUCGAACGGCAGCACAGUAGGAGCUUGCUCUUACGGGUGGCGAGUGGCGGACGGGUGAGGAAUACAUCGGAAUCUACUUUUUCGUGGGGGAUAACGUAGGGAAACUUACGCUAAUACCGCAUACGACCUACGGGUGAAAGCAGGGGAUCUUCGGACCUUGCGCGAUUGAAUGAGCCGAUGUCGGAUUAGCUAGUUGGCGGGGUAAAGGCCCACCAAGGCGACGAUCCGUAGCUGGUCUGAGAGGAUGAUCAGCCACACUGGAACUGAGACACGGUCCAGACUCCUACGGGAGGCAGCAGUGGGGAAUAUUGGACAAUGGGCGCAAGCCUGAUCCAGCCAUACCGCGUGAGUGAAGAAGGCCUUCGGGUUGUAAAGCCCUUUUGUUGGGAAAGAAAAGCAGCAGGUUAAUACCCCGCUGUUCUGACGGUACCCAAAGAAUAAGCACCGGCUAACUUCGUG